UGGGGAAUAUUGCACAAUGGGCGCAAGCCUGAUGCAGCCAUGCCGCGUGUGUGAAGAAGGCCUUCGGGUUGUAAAGCACUUUCAGUCGUGAGGAAGGUAGUGUAGUUAAUAGCUGCAUUAUUUGACGUUAGCGACAGAAGAAGCACCGGCUAACUCCGUGCCAGCAGCCGCGGUAAUACGGAGGGUGCGAGCGUUAAUCGGAAUUACUGGGCGUAAAGCGCAUGCAGGUGGUUUGUUAAGUCAGAUGUGAAAGCCCGGGGCUCAACCUCGGAAUAGCAUUUGAAACUGGCAGACUAGAGUACUGUAGAGGGGGGUAGAAUUUCAGGUGUAGCGGUGAAAUGCGUAGAGAU
rnacentral:rRNA from 1 species